rnacentral:rRNA from 1 species
AUUGAACGCUGGCGGCAUGCCUUACACAUGCAAGUCGAACGGCAGCACGGGUGCUUGCACCUGGUGGCGAGUGGCGAACGGGUGAGUAAUACAUCGGAACGUACCUUAUCGUGGGGGAUAACGCAGCGAAAGCUGUGCUAAUACCGCAUACGCCCUGAGGGGGAACGCGGGGGAUCGAAAGCCCUCGCGCGAUUAGAGCGGCCGAUGCCUGAUUAGCUUGUUGGUGGGGUAAAAGCCCACCAAGGCGACGAUCAGUAGCUGGUCUGAGAGGACGAUCAGCCACACUGGGACUGAGACACGGCCCAGACUCCUACGGGAGGCAGCAGUGGGGAAUUUUGGACAAUGGGGGCAACCCUGAUCCAGCAAUGCCGCGUGAGUGAAGAAGGCCUUCGGGUUGUAAAGCUCUUUUGUCAGGGAAGAAACACCGGCUCUAACACAGUCCGGGAAUGACGGUACCUGAAGAAUAAGCACCGGCUAACUACGUGCCAGCAGCCGCCGUAA